UACCUUCACAGAAGCAGGCCCGAUC
rnacentral:piRNA from 1 species